rnacentral:rRNA from 1 species
CCUACGGGUGGCAGCAGUGGGGAAUAUUGCACAAUGGGGGAAACCCUGAUGCAGCGACGCCGCGUGAGCGAUGAAGGAUUGCGGGAUGUAAAGCUCUAUCAGCAGGGAAGAAAAUGACGGGACCUGACUAAGAAGCCCCGGCUAACUACGGGCCAGCAGCCGCGGUAAUACGUCGGGGGCAAGCGGUAUCCGGAAUUACUGGGUGUAAAGGGAGCGUAGACGGCGGUGCAAGCCAGAUGAGAAAGCCCGGGGCUCAACCCCGGGACUGCAUUUGGAACUGUGCUGCGAGAGUGUCGGAGAGGCAGGCGGAAUUCCUAUUGUAGCUGUGCACUGCGUAGAUCUUAGGCG